GAGCACGUAGGUGGGUUUGUAAGUCAGAUGUGAAAGCCUUCUGUCCAACGGAAGAAUUACAUCUGAAACUGCGAGUCUUGAGUGUAGGAGGGGAGAAUGGAACUUCUGGUGGAGCGGUGAAAUGCGUAGAUAUCAGAAGGAACGCCGGCGGCGAAAGCGAUUCUCUGGCCUAUUACUGACACUCAGUGUGCGAAAGCUAGGGGAGCAAACGGGAUUAGAUACCCCGGUAGUCCUAGCCGUAAACGAUGGGCACUAAGUAGAGGGGUUUU
rnacentral:rRNA from 1 species